AUUGAACGCUGGCGGCAUGCCUUACACAUGCAAGUCGAACGGCAGCACGGGUGCUUGCACCUGGCGGCGAGUGGCGAACGGGUGAGUAAUACAUCGGAACGUACCUUAUCGUGGGGGAUAACGCAGCGAAAGCUGUGCUAAUACCGCAUACGCCCUGAGGGGGAAAGCGGGGGAUCGAAAGACCUCGCGCGAUUAGAGCGGCCGAUGCCUGAUUAGCUUGUUGGUGGGGUAAAAGCCCACCAAGGCGACGAUCAGUAGCUGGUCUGAGAGGACGAUCAGCCACACUGGGACUGAGACACGGCCCAGACUCCUACGGGAGGCGGCAGUGGGGAAUUUUGGACAAUGGGGGCAACCCUGAUCCAGCAAUGCCGCGUGAGUGAAGAAGGCCUUCGGGUUGUAAAGCUCUUUUGUCAGGGAAGAAACACCGGCUCUAACACAGUCCGGGAAUGACGGUACCUGAAGAAUAAGCACCGGCUAACUGCGUGCCAGCCGCCGCCGUAA
rnacentral:rRNA from 1 species